rnacentral:rRNA from 1 species
AACGCUAGCUACAGGCUUAACACAUGCAAGUCGAGGGGCAGCAUCAUUAAAGCUUGCUUUGAUGGAUGGCGACCGGCGCACGGGUGAGUAACACGUAUCCAACCUGCCGACAACACUGGGAUAGCCUUUCGAAAGAAAGAUUAAUACCGGAUGGCAUAGUUUUCCCGCAUGGGAUAAUUAUUAAAGAAUUUCGGUUGUCGAUGGGGAUGCGUUCCAUUAGGCAGUUGGCGGGGUAACGGCCCACCAAACCAACGAUGGAUAGGGGUUCUGAGAGGAAGGUCCCCCACAUUGGAACUGAGACACGGUCCAAACUCCUACGGGAGGCAGCAGUGAGGAAUAUUGGUCAAUGGACGAGAGUCUGAACCAGCCAAGUAGCGUGAAGGAUGACUGCCCUAUGGGUUGUAAACUUCUUUUAUACGGGAAUAAAGUGAGCCACGUGUGGCUUUUUGUAUGUACCGUAUGAAUAAGGAUCGGCUAACUCCGUGCCAGCAGCCGCGGUAAUACGGAGGAUCUGAGCGUUAUCCGGAUUUAUUGGGUUUAAAGGGAGCGUAGGCGGGUUGUUAAGUCAGUUGUGAAAGUUUGCGGCUCAACCGUAAAAUUGCAGUUGAUACUGGCGACCUUGAGUGCAACAGAGGUAGGCGGAAUUCGUGGUGUAGCGGUGAAAUGCUUAGAUAUCACGAAGAACUCCGAUUG